UACGAAGGGUGCGAGCGUUGUCCGGAAUCACUGGGCGUAAAGGGCGCGUAGGCGGCCUGAUAAGUAGGGGGUGAAAUCCUGCGGCUUAACCGCAGGGCUGCCUUCUAAACUGUCGGGCUCGAGCACAGUAGAGGCAGGUGGAAUUCCCGGUGUAGCGGUGGAAUGCGUAGAGAUCGGGAAGAACAUCAGUGGCGAAGGCGGCCUGCUGGGCUGUUGCUGACGCUGAGGCGCGACAGCGUGGGGGAGCAAACAGG
rnacentral:rRNA from 1 species